rnacentral:tRNA from 1 species
GGGGUUGUGGCUCAGCGGUACAGCGCUCGCCUACUACUGAGUGGGAAGCCCUGCGUUCGAGUCUCUGCACCACA